UACGUAGGGGGCAAGCGUUGUCCGGAUUUAUUGGGCGUAAAGCGCACGUAGGCGGCUUUGUAAGUUAGAGGUGAAAGCCCGGAGCUCAACUCCGGAACUGCCUUUAAGACUGCAUUGCUUGAACGUCGGAGAGGUAAGUGGAAUUCCGAGUGUAGAGGUGAAAUUCGUAGAUAUUCGGAAGAACACCAGUGGCGAAGGCGACUUACUGGACGACUGUUGACGCUGAGGUGCGAAAGCGUGGGGAGCAAACAGG
rnacentral:rRNA from 1 species